UGGGGAAUAUUGCACAAUGGGCGAAAGCCUGAUGCAGCAACGCCGCGUGAGUGAUGAAGGCCUUCGGGUUGUAAAGCUCUGUCUUUUGGGACGAUAAUGACGGUACCAAAGGAGGAAGCCACGGCUAACUACGUGCCAGCAGCCGCGGUAAUACGUAGGUGGCAAGCGUUGUCCGGAUUUACUGGGCGUAAAGGAUGCGUAGGCGGAUUUUUAAGUGAGAUGUGAAAACCUAAGCUUAACUUGGGGACUGCAUUUCAUACUGGAAAUCUAGAGUGCGGGAGAGGAGAAUGGAAUUCCUAGUGUAGCGGUGAAAUGCGUAGAGAUUAGGAAGAACACCAGUGGCGAAGGCGAUUCUCUGGACCGUAACUGACGCUGAGGCAUGAAAAGCGUGGGUAGCAAACAGGAUUAGAUACCCUGGUAGUCCACGCCGUAAACGAUGAGUACUAGGUGUAGGAGGUAUCGACCCCUUCUGUGCCGCAGUUAACACAAUAAGUACUCCGCCUGGGAAGUACGAUCGCAAGAUUAAAACUCAAAUGAAUUGACGGGGUCAUAGCUG
rnacentral:rRNA from 1 species